rnacentral:lncRNA from 1 species
UCCCAGAAUGAUUUCACUACAGACUCUCUGGAAAGCCUGGGAGCUGAAUUCCGGAAGAUCCCCACAUCGAUGAAAGCAAAGCGAAGCCACCAAGCCGUCAUCAUGUCCACGUCGCUACGAGUCAGCCCAUCCAUCCAUGGCUACCACUUCGACACAGCCUCUCGUAAGAAAGCCGUGGGCAACAUCUUUGAAAACACAGACCAAGAAUCACUAGAAAGGCUCUUCAGAAACUCUGGAGACAAGAAAGCAGAGGAGAGAGCCAAGAUCAUUUUUGCCAUAGAUCAAGAUGUGGAGGAGAAAACGCGUGCCCUGAUGGCCUUGAAGAAGAGGACAAAAGACAAGCUUUUCCAGUUUCUGAAACUGCGGAAAUAUUCCAUCAAAGUUCACUGAAGAGAAGAGGAUGGAUAAGGACGUUAUCCAAGAAUGGACAUUCAAAGACCAAGUGAGUUUGUGAGAUUCUAACAGAUGCAGCAUUUUGCUGCUACCUUACAAGCUUCUCUUCUGUCAGGACUCCAGAGGCUGGAAAGGGACCGGGACUGGAAAGGGACCAGGACUGAACAGACUGGUUACAAAGACUCCAAACAAUUUCAUGCCCUGUGCUGUUACAGAGGAGAACAAAAUGCUUUCAGCAAGGAUUUGAAAACUCUUCCGUCCCUGCAGGAAAGGAUUGAUGCUGAUAGAAGAGCCUGGACAGAUGUAAUGAGAACUAAAGAAAACAGAUGGCUGGAGAUGACAUUUAUCCAGGGUCACUUUGUCAGGCCCUAGGACUUAAAUCGAAGUUGAACUUUUUUUUUUUUUUUUAACCAAAUAGAUAGGGGAAGGGAGGAGGGAGAGGGAGGACAGGGAGAGAAAAUACCAUGCAUAAAUUGUUUACUGAAUUUUUAUAUCUGAGUGUUCAAAAUAUUUCCAAGCCUGAGUAUUGUCUAUUGGUAUAGAUUUUUAGAAAUCAAUAAUUGAUUAUUUAUUUGCACUUAUUACAAUGCCUGAAAAAGUGCACCACAUGGAUGUUAAGUAGAAAUUCAAGAAAGUAAGAUGUCUUCAGCAACUCAGUAAAACCUUACGCCACCUUUUGGUUUGUAAAAGGUUUUUUAUACAUUUCAAACAGGUUGCACAAAAGUUAAAAUAAUGGGGUCUUUUAUAAAUCCAAAGUACUGUGAAAACAUUUUACAUAUUUUUUAAAUCUUCUGACUAAUGCUAAAACGUAAUCUAAUUAAAUUUCAUACAGUUACUGCAGUAAGCAUUAGGAAGUGAAUAUGAUAUACAAAAUAGUUUAUAAAGACUCUAUAGUUUCUAUAAUUUAUUUUACUGGCAAAUGUCAUGCAACAAUAAUAAAUUAUUGUAAACUUUGUGGCUUUUGGUCUGUGAUGCUUGGUCUCAAAGGAAAAAAUAAGAUGGUAAAUGUUGAUAUUUACAAACUUUUCUAAAGAUGUGUCUCUAACAAUAAAAGUUAAUUUUAGAGUAGUUUUAUAUUAAUUACCAAACUUUUUCAAAACAAAUUCUUACGUCAAAUAUCUGGGAAGUUUCUCUGUCCCAAUCUUAAAAUAUAAAAUAUAGAUAUAGAAGUUCAUAGAUUGACUCCUUGGCAUUUCUAUUUAUGUAUCCAUUAAGGAUGAGUUUUAAAAGGCUUUCUCUUCAUACUUUUGAAAAAUUUCUUCUAUGAUUACAGUAGCUAUGUACAUGUGUACAUCUAUUUUUCCCAAGCAAUAUGUUUUGGGUUUAGAGUCUGAGUGAUGACCAAGAUUCUGUGUGUUACUACUGUUUGUUUAAUAGGAACAAAUAUAGAAAUAAUAUUAUCUCUUUGCUUAUUUCCCGUUAAAACUAUAAUAAAAUGUUUCUAGGACAGCAUACGUAAAUGCCUGCUAUGCUUUCCUAACAAAAAUGAAAUUUUUCCACAAGUUAAGCAUUUUAGAAACACCUAAAGUGUUUUUCAAAAUGCUGAUCACAGUAAGUCAAAACAAGUGAAUUACCUCACAUCUGCUGGGAGGGUUACAAGUCAGGAUUAUAAAUACUAUGUUUUUAAAAAGAAAAUCAAAUGGCAAAUUCUAUUUUCAAAUAGUAAUUUACUCGUUCACUGAAGAUAAUGCAAAGCACUUUAUUAAAAAUGAGUUCUUUCCAAGAGAGCAUUCCGGAAGAUAACACAUUAAUAUGCAAAAUUGUGUGUGUGUGUGUGUGUGUGUGUGUGUGUGCAUUUUUCUAAGAGGAAUAUUGAUAAUUUUCACGAGAUUUGUAGAGACAGCUAUAACUCCAAAAAAAGUUAUAAACAGAAAAAGGGUUUGCGGAGUAGCAGGAGAAUUGGAGGAAGCCUAACCCAGGCUGGGGACAUACUAGACAAUUCCAUAGAAAUUUUCCCUGUUUCAUUUUCACUGUGCUGUGUUACGGGAGUAUGAAAGAGAAGGCUGUAAAGAGGCCCUCGGCUCCAUAACCCUACUUUCCCAUCCUUAUGAACUGAGCUUUCUUAAUGUUCACUGCGUGUGCUAGAAAUAACUUCCUUCUCCUGAUAGGGCCCAUCAGUGAAAAUCUUUAUUUUCUAUUCAAAAAUUGAAGCACACUUGGAUGCUAAAUGUAGUUCAAGAGUUAAGUGUAUUAUACAUACUCAUAACUAUUUACUCUGCCACUGUUGUUUUCAAUAGGGUACAAAGUAUAUCUUCUCCUCUUUUCACAUUAGCAUGUAUUAAGUUGUUUUCUUGCAGUAUAUUACGUUAUUUUCUGAUUUCAAGGCUGUAACAUGGGAGACAAAUUAAAAAGCAAUUUGGAUGCACUCCACAAUGGUAUGGAGAAUAAUAACACAUCCAGUAGAUUAUCACAAACGUGUCAUCUUUACCAUUCAUGGAGAACAAAAGUUGGAAUCAAUUUAAUUGCAUAAGGAUGAUUUUUAGCUUCAUAAUACAUUCAUUACUUAAUGUGAGGUGAAAAUAAACAUCAGUAGAACAGGGAGGAUUGGUUCAGUUUAGAAAUUUAUGGCACAAGGAUAAACAAAUAUAUCUCAGGACAUCUCACUGUAAUUGAAGAAAUGAAAGCAGCAAAGAUUAAAUAGCUCGUUAAUCAUAUUUGUAUCAUGAGAUCACAGUAAUAACUUUCACUGAGUGUUUACUCUCAGUCAGACAAUUUUCUAAGUGUUUUUUUUGUGUAUUACUAAUACAUCACUUAAUUAGUGCCAUGACAUAAAUGCUAAGGGCAUGUGCGUGUGUAAUAUAGUAAUAAAACUGAAGCACAGAGAGGUGCAGUAACUUGGUCAAUGACACGCAGCUAAUAACUCCAGAAAUCAAAUCCAGGAACUCUGGCCUUCAUUCCCAGCCACUAGACUAUACCGGUUCUUUAGGAGAAACCAAGCUUCUCUUUUUCUUUUAAGUAACGAUACUUCUAUGUUAGUCAGUCAUGAAGACAGGAAGGCCUGGCCUCUGAAGCAUCACUUUUAUCUGACCUGGCCCUGGUCUUGGCUGUUACAUAGUGGGAUAGCUCGAUGUGCAUACAGCGUGGUUGGCAGUAGAAAGAUCAAUAGAGGAGUUUAUAGGGUUUACGAAGACCUGGAUUCUAAUCCUGCCUCAGCUAUUUAUGAGGAAUGGCUUCAAAUGUUCAGUGGAAGUGAACAAGUUCUUGUAUUGUUUUCUCCUAUUCUCCUUCCAGCUUCAGGGUCAUAUGUCACAGCGCUGGGCAUUUCAUUUGGGUAUCUAUCAUCAUUCCCAUUCUGCAAUGAGGAAAUGCUGUCAGAGUGAUUAAGUAAUUUGCCCAUGGUCUCACAUAGAAGCCUGUCUUCUCCAGGGAACACAGCACUCAGAAUCGUCUCGGCCCCUGCAUAAGCCUGCAUGAGCCUGGGCUCUGGGGACCCAUCCUGGUGCAUCAUUCGUUGGCUCUGUGACAAUGGGCACAUCGUUUAACCUCUCUUGGCUUCAUUCUCCUUACUGGAAUGAUGGAGAGAGUUUUGCCUAUUUCAGAGGCUUGCUCUUCUAUACGUGAGCCUAUAAGUAACUUGUCUUAAGAAUUUCCACUCCUUCUGUACUCUGAUUUAAAUUUGAAGGCAUCAAAACAAAAACAAUCAAGAUUUCAGAUUCCAAAUACUUUCAUUUUCAUUUUUUAUUUUGAUUAGAAUUUCUUCUGAAUGAAUUUCUGUUUUGUAAUUUUAGCAUUGCCCUGAGGGGGGGAAAAGGCAGUUUAUCACCAUGCAGUAUAUUUUUCAGACAGCCUCUCUUUGACAAACUGAUUUUUGUCAGUCUCAACUGACUCACCAAUUCCAAAUCCCAGGGCUUCCCUGGGAAACUUCCUUGGAUCAUGGCUCUGCCACACAGGACCGACAUCCCAGAGGCCAAAGCAACCUGCUAUAAACUGAGAUCAUUGCUCAGCAAGCUGGUACCACAUGCAAGGAGUCUCAAGAGCUAACAGGAAAUGAUUCAAGACCAGAAUUACCCAGAACAAGUGUGUUAGCUUCCUCUGCGCAUGGGAUAAUAAGGAGCUUGCAUCACCAACCUUCCGUGAAUAGCCUACUCAGUGAUUCAACAGGUUUCAAAAUUGUGAAAUAAGGGAUGUCUCUUGCAUGGUGUACUUUAGAAGUCUCUACCUGAGGAUGAAGGAAGUACCCAGGAGUAGGCAUCAUUCCACUUUUGUACCAUCUUCCACUAUGUUUAUAUGGGUCCUCACUGAGAAAAAGGUAUUAAAAGUGAGAUGGAAAGAAUAGGUCAGCUAGGUG